rnacentral:rRNA from 1 species
UGCAAGUCGAGCGGACAGAUGGGAGCUUGCUCCCUGAUGUUAGCGGCGGACGGGUGAGUAACACGUGGGUAACCUGCCUGUAAGACUGGGAUAACUCCGGGAAACCGGGGCUAAUACCGGAUGCUUGAUUGAACCGCAUGGUUCAAUUAUAAAAGGUGGCUUUUAGCUACCACUUACAGAUGGACCCGCGGCGCAUUACCUAGUUGGUGAGGUAACGGCUCACCAAGGCAACAAUGCGUAGCCAACCUGAGAGGGUGAUCGGCCACACUGGGACUGAAACACGGCCCAAACUCCUACGGGAGGCAGCAGUAGGGAAUCUUCCGCAAUGGACAAAAGUCUGACGGACCAACGCCGCGUGAGUGAUGAAGGUUUUCGGAUCGUAAAACUCUGUUGUUAGGGAAAAACAAGUACCGUUCGAAUAGGGCGGUACCUUGACGGUACCUAACCAAAAAGCCACGGCUAACUACGUGCCAGCAGCCGCGGUAAUACGUAGGUGGCAAGCGUUGUCCGGAAUUAUUGGGCGUAAAGCGCGCGCAGGCGGUUUCUUAAGUCUGAUGUGAAAGCCCCCGGCUCAACCGGGGAGGGUCAUUGGAAACUGGGGAACUUGAGUGCAGAAGAGGAGAGUGGAAUUCCACGUGUAGCGGUGAAAUGCGUAGAGAUGUGGAGGAACACCAGUGGCGAAGGCGACUCUCUGGUCUGUAACUGACGCUGAG